ensembl:lncRNA
GCUAGCUUCAGGACAAGGGCGUUGGCCACUAUAGCCAAUCCGGUGCAAAGGUCUAGAGCUUACGGCAGGAAUCCGGUGAUGUAGUGGCUUCUAGUCGUCUUAGUGAAGAGUCUGGGAGGCAUCAGUUAUGUAGCCGAGUGAUCAUAGGGUCCACCGAGCAGGCCGGGAGAUGGGCCUGGAUCAAGGCUAGCUUCGGGGCUGGGCCACUCGGUGGCAGCUAGCCAGCUGCGAUUAUCUGGUGUAAUGGUCCAGAGCUUACGGCAGGAAUACAGUGAUGUAGUGGAGAAAAACAGUCCGAUAUGCUCAGGGUUGAUAUUGCGCUGUGCAGACUGGCAGGUAUUAUCCAGGCUAAAAGCGUCUGGUGUUUGAGCUAAAAAGGUAAAGGCUGCUAGCAGUGGCUAACAAUGACUAAAUAGCUAGUAGCUAAUUAGCUGGAUAGCUUCUGAUGGAGGUUCUAGCUAUAAGGGCCAAAAAAAAAGCAGAUCCGUAUCACAUUGAGUGAGGCGGGUUGCCGGAAGGUAUAUUUAAUUGAAUUUAAUGUUGUGUUGACGAGCGGCUCCCUCCGGUCAGGUUGUGUUGACGAGCGGCUCCCUCCGGUCAGGUUGUGUUGACGAGCGGCUCCCUCCGUGUUAAUCAGGGAACGGUUUCUCAAAACCAUCUUAUGGCUAAAUUCAUCGUUAGAACCAUUGGAUGCCUUAAGAUGCGUUUGGGAAACCGGGCCCAGAUAUCCAGGUUCCUCCUCUUCUUCCUCCUCCUCCUUUUUCGAUGUAAAAGUAAUCUCCUCCCCCUCCUCUUUCACGCCAUAAACUGCAUCUUCCUCUCCUUUUACUGUGACAUCAUCCUCCUCUUUCACUCUGAACGCGUCCUCCUCUUCUUUCACAGUAACGGCCCCACUCCCUUCUUGUUUUACUGUGAUAUCUUCCUCGUCUUUCACUCUGAACGCGUCCUCCUCUUCUUUCACAGUAACGGCCCCACUCCCUACUUCUUGAUUUACUGUGAUAUCCUUCUCUUCAUUAGAAGGAGAGUAACUUGGUGACCGCAUGGUCGGGGAUGUUAGCUAGCUAGGCUAAUGCUAACUUAACCAGCCCGCUAGCUGAAUAAUAACAACACCGUAAAUAUGAAAUUAAAUCGGAUAACUAACUAGACGAUAGAAGUGGGUUUAAAACACAGUGGCUAAUAUACACUAAAGCCUCUAAAGUAAUGUAUUGUUUCGGCUAUUUUGUCUAGCAAGCUACCGAGGUGUCUGACUAACUGUUGCUGCUGUUGAAAGAAGCGUUCCGUCCACUAGAUUAUACGUCACACCAACAGCAUCGCCUUAAAUUCCC